GUCCUGAGUUCAAUUCCCAGCAACCAUAUGGUGGUUCACAACCAUCUGUAAUGGGAUCUGAUUCCUUCUUCUGGCGUGUGGGUAUAUAUACAGACAGGGUACUCAUAUAAAUAAAGUACAUGAAUAAAUAAACCUGAUUUUUAAAAAGAUGUACUUUUUAUUAAGCUGCAUAUAGUGAUGCAUGCCUUCAAUCCCAUCACUUGAGAGGCAGAGAGAGACAGAUCUCUGUUUUAGCCAAG
rnacentral:lncRNA from 1 species